UACAUGGGUGCAAACGUUGCUCGGAAUUAUUGGGCGUAAAGCGCACGUAGGCGGUUUGUUAAGUCGGAUGUGAAAUCCCUCGGCUCAACUGAGGAAGUGCAUCCGAAACUGGCAGGCUUGAGUACUAAAGAGGGUCGCGGAAUUCCCGGUGUAGAGGUGAAAUUCGUAGAUAUCAGGAGGAACACCGAUGGCGAAGGCAGCUCGCUGGGACGGUACUGACGCUGAGGCGCGAAAGCGUGGGAGCAACA
rnacentral:rRNA from 1 species